rnacentral:rRNA from 1 species
UACGUAGGGUGCGAGCGUUGUCCGGAAUUAUUGGGCGUAAAGGGCUCGUAGGCGGUUUGUCGCGUCGGGAGUGAAAUCCACUGGCUUAACUGGUGGCUUGCUUUCGAUACGGGCAGACUGGAGGUAUGCAGGGGAGAACGGAAUUCCUGGUGUAGCGGUGAAAUGCGGCAGAAUAUCAGGAGGAACACCGGUGGCGAAGGCGGUUCUCUGGGCAUGACCU